rnacentral:rRNA from 1 species
UACGUAGGGGGCAAGCGUUGUCCGGAUUUAUUGGGCGUAAAGAGCGUGUAGGCGGCUUGGAAGGUCAGCUGUGAAAACUCGAGGCUCAACCUCGAGACGUCGGUUGAAACCACCUGGCUAGAGUCCGGAAGAGGAGUGUGGAAUUCCCGGUGUAGCGGUGAAAUGCGCAGAUAUCGGGAAGAACACCCGUGGCGAAGGCGGCACUCUGGGCCUUACCUGACGCUCAGGUGCGAAAGCUAGGGGAGCGAACAGG